CUCAACCGGAGUUGGGAGAAAAAAACAGCUGCAACUCCAUGAGCAGAAAAGCGACCACUUUCUGCAAGAGACUGGAGCACAAGGAAGUUUUAGUGGGCUUGGUGUUCCUGGUUUUCCCGUUCAUUCCGGCCAGCAAUCUCUUCUUCAGGGUGGGUUUUGUGGUGGCGGAGAGAGUCCUUUACAUGCCUAGCAUGGGCUACUGUAUC